AGGGUUUGAUCAUGGCUCAGAACGUACGCUGGCGGCACGCCUUAUACAUGCAAGUCGAACGAAGUAGCAAUACUUAGUGGCAGACGGGUGAGUAACAUGUAGGUAUCUGCCCUUUGGCCUGGAAUAACACGAGGAAACUUGUGCUAAUACUGGAUAAGUCUUUACGGAGAAAGCUUUAUGCACCAUUGGAUGAGCCUGCACUUGAUUAGUUUGUUGGUGGGGUAAUGGCCUACCAAGACAAUGAUCAAUAGCUGAUUUGAGAGGAUGAUCAGCCACAUUGGAACUGAGACACGGUCCAAACUCCUACGGGAGGCAGCAGUAGGGAAUCUUGCACAAUGGAGGAAACUCUGAUGCAGCGAUGCCGCGUGAGUGAAGAAGGCCUUUGGGUUGUAAAGCUCUUUCGUCGGGGAAGAAAAUGACUGUACCCGAAUAAGAAGGUCCGGCUAACUUCGUGCCAGCAGCCGCGGUAAUACGAAGGGACCUA
rnacentral:rRNA from 1 species